CACGUAGGGGGCAAGCGUUGUCCGGAUUUAUUGGGCGUAAAGAGCUCGUAGGUGGUUCGGUAAGUUGGGUGUGAAAACUCCAGGCUCAACCUGGAGACGCCACCCGAUACUGCUGUGACUUGAGUCCGGUAGGGGAGCGUGGAAUUCCUGGUGUAGCGGUGAAAUGCGCAGAUAUCAGGAGGAACACCAGCGGCGAAGGCGGCGCUCUGGGCCGGAACUGACGCUGAGGAGCGAAAGCGUGGGUAGCGAACAGG
rnacentral:rRNA from 1 species